UUAGUCAGGCAACGAGCGAGACCCACGCCCACAGUUGCCAGCGUACUCUCCGGAGUGACGGGUACACUGUGGGGACCGCCGCUGCUAAAGCGGAGGAAGGAAUGGGCAACGGUAGGUCAGUAUGCCCCGAAUAUCCCGGGCUACACGCGGGCUACAAUGGUUGGUACAAUGGGUAUCUACCCCGAAAGGGGAUGGCAAUCUCCUAAAACCAAUCUUAGUCCGGAUUGAGGGCUGCAACUCGCCCUCAUGAAGCUGGAAUCCGUAGUAAUCGCGUUUCAACAGAACGCGGUGAAUACGUCCCUGCUCCUUGCACA
rnacentral:rRNA from 1 species